AAUGAACGCUAGCGACAGGCCUAACACAUGCAAGUCGAACGAGUGGCGGACGGGUGAGUAAUAUCUGGGAAACUGCCCGAUGGAGGGGGAUAACUACUGGAAACGGUAGCUAAUACCGCAUACCAUCGGAUGUGCCCAGAUGGGAUUAGCUAGUAGGUGGGGUAACGGCUCACCUAGGCGACGAUCCCUAGCUGGUCUGAGAGGAUGACCAGCCACACGGGAACUGAGACACGGUCCAGACGCCUACGUGAGGCAGGAGUGGGGAAUAUUGCACAAUGGGCGCAAGCCUGAUGCAGCCAGGCCGCGUGUAUGAAGAAGGCCUGCGGGUUGUAAAGUACUUUCAGCGAGGAGGCGUUACUCGCAGAAGAAGCACCGGCUAACUCCGUGCCAGCAGCCGCGGUAAUUC
rnacentral:rRNA from 1 species